rnacentral:rRNA from 1 species
GACGAACGCUGGCGGCGUGCUUAACACAUGCAAGUCGAACGGAAAGGCCCUACUGUUGCGGGGUACUCGAGUGGCGAACGGGUGAGAAAGGCGGGGGUACGCGGACCUAGACUUUGGGAUAACGGGAGGUAACUGGGGGUAAUACCGGAUAGGAGCGCAUACUAUUAGGUAGGGGUUGGAAAGUUUCGGCGGUUUGGGAUUGAAGCGCGGCUAAUCGGCUUGUUGGUGGGGUAGUGGCUUACCAAGGCUUUGGCGGGUAGCCGGCCUGAGAGGGGGACCGGCCCCAUUGGGACUGAGGGACGGCCCAGACUCCUACGGGAGGCAACAGUGGGGAGUAUGGCCCAAUGGGCGGAAGCCUGAUGCAGCAACUCCGCGUGCGGGAUGACGGCCUUCGAGUUGUAAACCGCUUUCGCCUGUGACGGUGCGUGAGUGACGGUAAUGGGUAAAGAAGCACCGGCUAACUUCCUG